AGAGUUUGAUCAUGGCUCAGGACGAACGCUGGCGGCGUGCUUCAUACAUGCAAGUCAAGGAGAACAUAUCCUUCGGGAUGUUAUUAAACUGGCGAACGGGUGAGUAACGCGUAGGUAACCUACCCUAGAGAUUGGGAUAACUUCGGGAAACUGGAGCUAAUACCGAAUAAUGCAGCGGAUCCUUCGGGAUACAGUUGUUAAAGCGGGCUUCGGCUCGCACUUUUGGAUGGGCCUGCGUCCGAUUAGCUUGUUGGUAAGGUAAAAGCUUACCAAGGCAAUGAUCGGUAGCUGGUCUGAGAGGAUGAUCAGCCACACUGGGAUUGAGAUACGGCCCAGACCACCACGGUGGGCAGCAGUAAGGAAUUUUGCGCAAUGGGGGAAACCCUGACGCAGCAACGCCGCGUGACUGAUGAAGCUUCUAGGAGCGUAAAGGUCUGUCGUAAGGGAAGAAAAGUUUAGAUGUUAAUAAUGUUUGAACCUGACGGUACCUUACAAGAAAGCACCGGCUAACUUCGUGCCAGCAGCCGCGGUAAUACGAGGGGUGCGAGCGUUGUCCGGAAUCACUGGGCGUAAAGGGUCCGUAGGCGUUUCAACAAGUCAUUUGUUAAAGGCAUCGGCUUAACCGAUGAAAUGCAUUUGAAACUUUUGAAAUAGAGUAUAGGAGAGGAAAGUGGAAUUCCUGGUGUAGCGGUGACAUGCGUAGAUAUCAGGAGGAACACCAAUGGCGAAGGCAACUUUCUGGCCUAUUACUGACGCUGAGGGACGAAAGCGUGGGGAGCGAACAGGAUUAGAUACCCUGGUAGUCCACGCCGUAAACGAUGAGUACUUGGUGUCGGAGGAUUCGACCCCUUCGGUACCGGAGCUAACGCAUUAAGUACUCCGCCUGGGAA
rnacentral:rRNA from 1 species